AUUGAACGCUGGCGGCAUGCCUUACACAUGCAAGUCGAACGGUAACAGGUUUUCGGAUGCUGACGAGUGGCGAACGGGUGAGUAAUACAUCGGAACGCGCCCGAUCGUGGGGGAUAACGAGGCGAAAGCUUUGCUAAUACCGCAUACGAUCUACGGAUGAAAGCGGGGGAUCUUCGGACCUCGCGCGGACGGAGCGGCCGAUGGCAGAUUAGGUAGUUGGUGGGAUAAAAGCUUACCAAGCCGACGAUCUGUAGCUGGUCUGAGAGGAUGAUCAGCCACACUGGGACUGAGACACGGCCCAGACUCCUACGGGAGGCAGCAGUGGGGAAUUUUGGACAAUGGGCGAAAGCCUGAUCCAGCCAUGCCGCGUGCAGGAUGAAGGCCUUUGGGUUGUAAACUGCUUUUGUACGGAACGAAAAGCCUCUUUCUAAUAAAGAGGGGUCAUGACGGUACCGUAAGAAUAAGCACCGGCUAACUACGUG
rnacentral:rRNA from 1 species